GCUCCAGCACUGGUCCUCCGUCAAAUGCCUGGCUAGUGGUCCUUACAGUGGGUGAUAACUCCCUAGACCUGCAGAGUGCUUCCCUUUUUCCAGCAACACUACGUCUCAGACUCAUGGGACCUAAGACUCACCAGGAUCCUAAAAAGCUCCUGACCAAACAAGGCCACUAACAAAAUCCAACUCUAUAAUGAGACUUUCCAUCUUCGGGGUAGUACAAUUGCAC
rnacentral:lncRNA from 1 species